rnacentral:rRNA from 1 species
UGCGCUCCGCUAAACCCAUAGGCGCAAUGAAAGUGAAGGCCGCCUUCGCGGUGGCCGAGGGAGGACGGGGCGGGCGGAUUUUUCUCCCGCCCCCGCACUCCCGGGGCGUCUGAUCCCUCAUCGCGAGGGGAGGCGCACCCAGAGCGCACACGUUGGGACCCGAAAGAUGGUGAACUAUGCCUGGCCAGGACGAAGUCAGGGGAAACCCUGAUGGAGGUCCGUAGCGAUUCUGACGUGCAAAUCGAUCGUCGGAGCUGGGUAUAGGGGCGAAAGACUAAUCGAACCAUCUAGUAGCUGGUUCCCUCCGAAGUUUCCCUCAGGAUAGCUUGCGCUCGGAGGAGAGUCUCAUCCGGUAAAGCGAAUGAUUAGAGGCCUUGGGGCCGAAACGGCUUCAACCUAUUCUCAAACUUUAAAUGGGUGAGAGCUCCGGCUUGCUCGAUACGUCGAAGCCGGAGACUGGAU